rnacentral:rRNA from 1 species
UACAGAGGUCCCAAGCGUUGUUCGGAUUCACUGGGCGUAAAGGGUGCGUAGGCGGUCGGGUAAGUCUGACGUGAAAUCUUCAAGUUUAACUUGGAAACUGCGUCGGAUACUAUUCGGCUGGAGGAAUGGAGGGGAGACUGGAAUACUUGGUGUAGCAGUGAAAUGCGUAGAUAUCAAGUGGAACACCAGUGGCGAAGGCGAGUCUCUGGACAUUUCCUGACGCUGAGGCACGAAAGCCAGGGGAGCAAACGGG